rnacentral:sRNA from 1 species
AGUUCGCUUUAGGGAUUGCAGCGGAAAUCCUUUAUUUGUAACAUGGCUAAAUUUUAUAAAUAAAGAUUGGAACGGACGGCCCGCCCCUUG